rnacentral:rRNA from 1 species
GUGGAUUAGAUACCCUGGUAGUCCAUGCCGUAAACGAUGUCUACUAGCCGUUGGGGCCUUUGAGGCUUUAGUGGCGCAGCUAACGCGAUAAGUAGACCGCCUGGGGAGUACGGUCGCAAGACUAAAACUCAAAUGAAUUGACGGGGGCCCGCACAAGCGGUGGAGCAUGUGGUUUAAUUCGAUGCAACGCGAAGAACCUUACCUGGCCUUGACAUAGUAGAAACUUUCCAGAGAUGGAUUGGUGCCUUCGGGAAUCUACAUACAGGUGCUGCACGGCCGUCGCCAACU